CUAUCAGACACUCUUUAGGUUUCUUGAUUCCUUCAUUCUCGUUUGCAUAGUUUUCUGGUGCAGUUGCAGAGACUACAGAGCGACUCCAACCAAUUCGCAGAUAUGCCGACUGUUAGCGUUGGGAGGGAUCGUCUCUUUGCAGGCUUGGGGAAGACCUACACACAAGAAGAGUUCGAAGAACUUUGCUUCGAUUUUGGAAUCGAGCUUGACGACGUUACAACAGAGAAGGCUAUUAUCAGGAAGGAAAAGCAUCUCGACGAAGAAGCAACUGAGGAUGAGGAAGUUAUAUACAAAAUCGAAGUACCUGCGAACAGAUAUGAUUUGCUUUGCCUCGAAGGGCUUGUGCAAGCUCUCCGCAUUUUCAAUGGGCUCGAUGAGUUACCCAAAUAUAAGUUGUCCAAGAUUUUAAGUGACUCCAUGCUUAAAGUGCAUGUAAAACCAGAGACUUCGAAGAUUCGCCCCUUCAUUGUCUGUGCUGUUUUAAGAGGAGUUACUUUUGAUGAAGCGAGAUAUAAUAGCUUUAUUGACCUUCAAGAUAGACUCCAUCAAAAUAUUUGCCGGCGGAGGGCAUUAGUUGCUAUUGGCACUCAUGAUUUGGAUACAAUACAAGGUCCUUUCACGUAUGAGGCCUUGCCAUCUCGGGAUAUAAACUUUGUGCCACUGAAACAGGUGAAAAGAUUCAGGGCGGACGAGCUAAUGGAGUUUUACAAAUCAGAUCUGAAACUGAAGAAAUUCUUGCACAUAAUUGAGAAAUCACCAGUGUUCCCAGUCAUAUACGACUGCAACAGAACAGUGUUAUCCUUGCCUCCAAUUAUUAAUGGUGCACAUUCAGCAAUUACACUGAAGACAAAGAAUGUGUUUAUUGAAUGUACAGCAACUGAUUUAACAAAGGCCAAGAUUGUUUUGAAUACAAUGGUCACAACGUUUUCCGUGUACUGUGAAAGAAAAUUUGAGGUUGAACCUGUUGAGGUGGUGUCCUCUGAUGGGAAGUCAUGUGUUUAUCCUGAUCUCUCACUUUAUGAUUUGGAGGUUCCUUUGUCUUACAUCACUGGUUCAGUAGGCGUUUCUUUGGAGGCUAGCCAGGUCUGUAGUUUAUUGAACAAGAUGCAAUUACAUGCGGAAAAAUCUAUAACAAAAGAGGAAUGCAGUAUCCUUGUAUCUGCUCCUCCAACCAGAAGUGAUAUUCUCCAUGCUUGUGAUGUAAUGGAGGAUGUUGCGAUUGCGUACGGGUUCAAUAAAAUUCCCAAGAGGAAGCCUGCAUCUUUGAUGUCAGUUGCUUUGAAUCAAAUAAGCGAGCUUAUCAGAUUGGAGAUUGCAAUGAAUGGGUAUACAGAGGUGUUAACAUGGAUAUUGUGCUCAUACAAAGAGAAUUUCUUCAUGUUGAACCGUAAGGAUGACCAAUUGACAGCUUCAAUUAUUGCAAAUCCUCGUUCAGCCGAUUUCGAGAUGUCUCGAACAAGUCUCAUGCCAGGCAUAUUGAAAACUGUGGGGCACAACAAAGACCAUCCAAAGCCCAUAAAGAUAUUUGAAGUGGGUGAUGUGGUGGUAUUGGAUGAGGCAAAAGACGUUGGUGCAAGAAAUCGUCGCCAACUUGCUGCACUAUAUUGUGGUGCUAACUCAGGAUUCGAGUUGAUUCAUUCCCUGGUGGACAGAAUCAUGGAAGUACUUGGGACACCUUUUGUUCCUAUUGGAGAUGAGACAGGUUACUACAUUAGGCUGUCAGAUGAGCCUGAAUUUCUUCCCGGUAGACAAGCUAGCAUAAUUUUCAAAGGGAAGCACAUCGGAACCUUUGGCAUUGUGCAUCCAGAGGUCUCGAGUAACUUUGACAUCCCAGACCCAUGUUCCUUCAUGGAGGUUAACAUUGAAUCCUUCUUGUAGGAUAAGCUCCAUGCCCUGGAGGUAGUUCGCUACUGUUGUAUCACAGGUUUUUUGGAAUGGGAAUUCUGGCAGUCUGUGGGAGAGUAAAAGUAACAUAAAUGAAAUCUGAUGCAUAAGUCAAAUGAGCUAAAAACAAGACCACUUCAUUGGUAGGCUUGAGCAGAAAUGUAGUUAGUGGUAUGAGUUCAUAAACGUCCAAAAAAGUAGGAGCGACACUCCAAGGCUACGAUGUGGGUUUUUUAUCCAAAAGAUGACUUGACUCCUCUGAAUUACUCCAAGCUUGUGCAAUGCUCCAUCCUUUCGUCUUCGCAAGCUGUAAUUAGUUAGAGAAUUGCUAUAGUCAGGGAAGUAGUUAGGGAAGCUGUAUUUCUCCCAUAAUUCUAGAUCAUCAAGUCUAUGGUUUCUCUAUACAUGUUGCCUGAUGUUUCAGCUUAUUAACAAACGUGUACUAACAAAACUAUUAUUCGGUUACAUUUGUUCUAAAUGUAAAUAUUAGAAACACCACCACCCCACCCCACCCCCACCCACAAAAAAAAAGAAAAAAAAAGGGGAUGGUAUCGUCUUAUUUACUAUAGACAAGGUUUCAAUUAUCUAUCAUGAAGCCUCUCGAUUUCAACUCCCACUACAUUGUACUGUCACUUUUUGGGUGUUUAUGUCUAAACAAGAUUGGGUGCUCAAUGGGGCCAAUUUUGUAAAUGAGGAAAUGAGGGGCACAACAUUUUCUUGUAAGCAAUUUUGCAUUGUGGGUUUACUAAUAUUUAAAAGCUCUUACAAAACAAGCUUAAUGUGCAGGUUUAA